GUUAGAGUUAUAUUUAUAUAGCCAUGUAGCCUUUUGUCUUUACCCCAUUGUAUAAGGGGUUUUCUGCAUAUUACCUGCACCUGUACAUGUAUAUAUACUGGCCUAUGGCCCCAUGGGAAUACAAGUUGCAUAUUUCCUAACAUGGUAUUAGAGCCCUAGGGUUUUUUUUUCGCACGCGCAACUCGUGCUCUUCGAUCCAAUUUCUGGCGUCGGUUGCCGCUGCUCCUCUCUCCGGCCGACUGCUGCUGCUCAUCUGUGUACGCACAACCACAACUCUCCUGAUCGCCGUUGUGUUCGUCCGCACCCGAUUCUCCGUUGGCCGCUGCUGCCCCGAUCCAUCUGCCUGUCCGGAUCGGGUCGCCUCGAUCCACUCCCCGCCUGCUGGGUCACCCGCCGCAGCCCAAGACGUGCAGUCUGAGGUGUUCGCCCGCUGCUGCCGUUCCUGGCCUCCAGCCCCAGCUCUUUUCUUCGUCAAAAACAAAGGAGCGUACUGCUCCUACCUGGUGCUGCUACGUGUUGUCUCCUCAGUUCCUCUCGAUCUGGUGGUGUACGUGCUCCUACGCGGUGCUACUACUGCUCCUUGGUGCUGCGUGGUGCCUCAGCCGCCGAUUGUCAGAGUAAAAAAAAACUCCUCGAGUAUGCAUCUCUCUGGUUGCCAGAUGACUGUUGACGGUGUUCCCUACAUUGAUCCCGUCUCGCACAUGUGCCGUCUCUCGGUGCUUGGUGCUCCUCCGUUGUUUCCUCGGAGUUCUACAGCCGAUGGUGAUGGUUGCUUUAUGUCGACUUCUACAGACAGUCACUAUUCAACGACUCCUCUUGCAACCUCCGCACAUGGUGUUUGUCGCUCUACACCGACUUCUCUCACGACUUUCACCGGCUGUGCUGGUACAUAUGACUCCAUCGACACGCGCCUUCCCUUGGCGCUUGGGGCUUGUCUACAUGCACCCUCGUCUUCUUCAUCGGCCUCUACAGACGAUGAUGUUUAUGCUACACCGCCUCUAGCGGCUUCCACGGGUGCAUCUUCGUCCACCUCUUCAGUUGAGCUCCUGACUGAGCAGGAGAUUGCGCGACUUCGAUACCUGCUAGCCGCUUCCUCUGGUUCUUCACCGACGGGUUCUGCUGGUUCUGAUACCGACUCUUCUGGCAAUGUGAGACCACCUUCAACACAGUCAGGUACAUCUCCGUGGAUUCUUGAUACUGGAGCAUCUUUUCAUAUGACUCCUGAUUCAUCCACUUUGUCUUCUAUUUGAGCUCUCGAUUCUCAUGUUCAUGUUCUUACUGCUGAUGGUACCUCCCUCCCGGUUAAUGGUCGAGGCAUUCUUAGCACUUCGUCUUUUCAUGUUCCUGAUGUUGCUCAUGUUCCUCGACUUACCAUGCAGCUUAUUUCCGGUGGUCAGAUUGUUGACUCUGGUUGUCGGGUCAUUCUUGACUUUGACUCAUGUUCUGUUCUAGACCGUUCCACCGGUGCUCUCCUUGGUGCUGGCCCACGGCGCCGUGACUCUCAGGGUCUCUGGGAGCUUGACUGGCUUCACCUUCCCUCCGCUGCCACCACCGCCAGUCUUUCCCCCUCUGUUGCCUUGUCUACCAGCUCUUUUCAGCAGUGGCAUCAUCGCCUUGGUCACUUGUGUGGCUCUCGUCUCUCAUCCUUAGUUCGACGUGGUCUUCUUGGAUCCAUCUCCGGCGGUGUGUCUUUAGAUUGUCAGGGUUGUCGGCUUGGUAAACAGGUCCAGUUACCUUAUCCUCAUAGCGACACUGUGUCUCAGCGUCCUUUUGACCUUGUUCACUCCGAUGUCUGGGGUCCAGCUCCAUUUGCCUCGAAAGGAGGUCAUCGCUACUAUAUUAUCUUUAUAGAUGAUUUCUCUCGAUACACCUGGAUAUAUUUUAUGUCUUCUCGUAGUGAGGUGUUAUCUAUCUAUAAGCGUUUUGCUGCCAUGGUUCACACUCAGUUCUCUACUCCUAUUCGUGUUUUCCGUGUUGACUCUGCUGGAGAGUAUAUCUCCAAGAUGUUGCGUGGAGUCCUUGUUGAGCAGGGUACUCUUGCCCAGUUCUCUUGUCCCGGUGCUCAUGCUCAGAAUGGCGUGCCUGAGCGCAAGCAUCGUCACCUUCUUGAGAUGGCUCGUGCGAUGAUGAUUGCCGCCUCUCUUCCGCCUCAUUUUUGGGCCGAGGCUAUCUCCACUUCCGCCUAUCUCAUCAACCUUCAGCCGUCCGCUGCUUUGCAGGGUGGCGUUCCUGUCGAGCGUCUCUUUGAUCGUUCUCCCGAUUACUCAGCACUUCGUUUGUUUGGUUGUGUUUGCUAUGUUCUUCUUGCCCCUCGUGAACGCACCAAACUGACCGCUCAGUCUGUUGAGUGUGUCUUCUUAGGCUAUAGUGACGAGCAUAAGGGCUAUCAUUGUUGGGAUCCUAUCGGUCGUCGGAUGCGUAUUUCUCGGGAUGUAACUUUUGAUGAGUCUCGUCCUUUCUACCCGCAUCCAUCUUCCUCGACCUUUUCAGUGGAGGAUAUCUCUUUCCUCACUUUUCCUGACACGCCUCCCUCUGUGCCCAGUAUUCCUAUUCCUCGUCCUGCUGUUGCAGAUCCGACGCCAUCCUCUCCUAUGGAUUCUUCCCCUCCCUCAUCGCAUGACUCCCCACCUUCAUCACCGACACAUUUCCCAUCUCCACCUUCAUCACCGAUACCUUCCCCUUCUCCACCUUCAUCAUCGCUACAUUCCCCGUCUCCACCUCCAGUGAUUCCACCUCUUCCCUCCUUCCCUUUUCAUUAUACUCGUCAUCCACGUGUUGUGGAUAAAUCCACUGACGUGCCAUCUACUUCUGGUGCGUCAUCCUCCUCAUCCCAGCCGACUUAUGGUCUUCGGGCUCGGCCUCGCCCUCCCCAUGACCGCUACUCUCCUAGUCGAUAUGCUCUUUCGGCUGUACUUGAGCCUACGUCUUAUCGCGAUGCUGUUGUUCAUCCUGAAUGGCAGUUUGCGAUGGCAGAGGAGCUUGCUGCUCUUGAGCGCACUGGCACAUGGGAUCUUGUUUCUCUUCCUCCCGGUGUUCGUCCCAUCACUUGUAAGUGGGUCUACAAGGUUAAGACUCGCUCUGAUGGUUCUCUUGAGCGUUACAAAGCUCGUCUUGUGGCUCGUGGUUUUCAGCAGGAGCAUGGUCGUGAUUACGAUGAGACAUUUGCUCCUGUGGCCCAUAUGACCACUAUCCGCACACUUCUCGCUGUGGCCUCUAUUCGCCAUUGGUCUGUUUCUCAGCUUGAUGUUAAGAAUGCCUUUCUUAAUGGUGAGCUGCGUGAGGAGGUAUACAUGCAGCCCCCACCUGGGUAUUCUAUUCCUGAUGGCAUGGUCUGUCGUCUUCGUCGCUCUCUCUAUGGCCUUAAGCAAGCCCCUCGCGCCUGGUUUGAGCGUUUUGCCUCUGUGGUGACUGCCGCUGGUUUUUGAGCGAGUGAUCAUGAUCCAGCGUUGUUUGUCCACAUUUCCGCUCGUGGUUGGACUCUUCUCCUUCUCUAUGUUGAUGACAUGAUCAUCACUGGCGACGACCCUGAGUAUAUUGCCUUUGUGAAGGCCCGUCUUAGUGAGCAGUUUCUGAUGUCUGAUCUUGGCCCUCUUCGCUACUUUCUUGGGAUCGAAGUCUCUUCUACCUCUGAUGGCUUUUUUAUUUCCCAGGAAAAGUAUAUCCAGGAUCUUCUUGCUCGUGCUGCUCUCACUGAUGAGCGCACUGUUGAUACUCCCAUGGAGCUCAAUGUUCACGUCCGUGAUACUGAUGGUGACCCCUUGUCUGAUCCGACGUGUUAUCGUCAUCUUGUUGGGAGUCUUGUCUAUCUAGCUGUCACUCGACCGGAUAUAUCUUAUCCGGUCCAUAUUCUGAGUCAGUUUGUCUCUGCUCCCACUUCGGUUCAUUACAGUCACCUCCUUCGUGUUCUCCGAUAUCUUCGAGGCACGAUCUCUCACCGUCUGUUCUUUCCUCGCUCCGGUUCAUUACAGCUUUAGGCCUAUUCAGAUGCUACGUGGGCUAGUGAUCCCUCGGAUCGCCGUUCACUUUUUGCUUACUGUGUUUUUCUUGGUGGUUCACUCAUUGCCUGGAAGACGAAGAAACAGACUGCAGUUUCCCGUUCGAGUGCAGAGGCUGAGUUGCGAGCUAUGGCUCUUUUGACGGCAGAGGUGACUUGGUUACGGUGGUUGCUUCAGGAUUUUGGUGUUUCUGUCACUACACCUACUCUUCUACUAUCUGACAGUACAGGUGCUAUUAGCAUUGCGCGUGACCCUGUGAAGCAUGAGCUCACCAAGCAUAUUGGUGUUGAUGCUUUUUAUGUGCGCGCUGGUGUGCAGGAUCGGGUUAUUGCUCUUCAGUAUGUGCCUUCCGAGUUACAGUUGGCGGAUUUCUUUACGAAGGCCCAAACUAGAGCACAACAUGGCUUCUAUCUCUCCAAACUCAGUGUUGUUUAUCCACCAUGAGUUUGAGGGGGGGGUGUUAGAGUUAUAUUUAUAUAGCCAUGUAGCCUUUUGUCUUUACCCCAUUGUAUAAGGGGUUUUCUGCAUAUUACCUGCACCUGUACAUGUAUAUAUGCUGGCCUAUGGCCCCAUGGGAAUACAAGUUGCAUAUUUCCUAACAUCAACCACCACCCGUUUCUGUCUGCCCACUCCACUGCGUUUUGAUAUGUGUCAUUUUGUGGCAAUGUGCAGGUGUAAGGAGUUGUUACGACGAGGGAAAGAGAACAGCAGAAACUCUGACCAUGGAUUACCAUCGUGGUGCUGGUGUUGAGGUAAAGCUGUAGUUGCUGAAUUGUGGUCUCAGUCAAACUAUAGACUUCCUUGUUGGCAAUGUCAUGUGUUGCCUAAAUUUAAUUGCAUAGGGCCCCUCAAUAUAUAUUAAUUGUGUGUCUCAAAACUUGUUUUAUGAUAUGGUAAGAUGUGCAAUAAAACCGGGCAGAAAUCAUUAUAUAUCUACCUGCAAAAAAAAAUCAUUAUGUAUCUGAGAUGGUAUUAAUAGGUGAUCUUUCAGUAAUUUCCUUUUUGAGUAAGUGAACUUGAGAGGGCCCAAAUGCCAAAUAUUGGACCCAUGUGCUUCAUGCUGUCUGUGUAUGUUUAUAUGUACUACACUUUGGGCAAUCAUGGGCAAGAGAGAUUGUGCCAUGUGUCUGUUGAUAUUUUUUGCCAGAAAAAAGUACCUUUGUGAUUGGUUUGAGUAGAAGGUCUUCUCUUGAGUUUUUUAAAUGAACAUUCAAGGUAUUGCUUACAUAUUUUUAACUGGACGGAGUGAAUCAAAGAGGGACAGUACAUUUGGCAAGAUUCUGCUUAUGAGUUGCUUUAUCUGUGUUCUAUUACUGUCUUACACAUCUUAAAGAUCAAAUUUGACAAGGGAACUUUCCUUCAGGUUAGAAUUGCUCGCAUAUUCAACACGUACGGCCCUCGUAUGUGUUUAGAUGAUGGCCGGGUUGUUAGCAACUUUGUUGCACAGGUUUGUCUUAAUUCAUAGCUCUUAUUCUUACAAAAGGAGGACUACCAUGUAAGUUUGGCAUUACUCAAUAUCCAUUGUCUCUCAUUUCCAGACUUUGCGAAAACAACCAAUGACGGUUUAUGGUGAUGGAAAGCAAACAAGAAGCUUUCAAUAUGUUUCGGAUUUGGUACUUGACUUGUUCAUUUUUCCUUGUCUAAAUGUGGAAGCAGCAACUUCUGUUUUGUUGUUCAAAACUGCACCGAUGCCUUAUGCAUUCAAAUCUUAAAAUCUUUAACCAUCUGUUAAUUUGUAGGUUGAUGGGUUGAUAACUCUGAUGGAAAAUAAGUACAUUGGACCUUUCAACUUGGGAAACCCUGGGGAGUUUACCAUGUUGGAGCUUGCUCAGGUCUGACCUUGAUACUGAAACUGACUGACCUCCACUUCUUGUUUGAACAUAAAGUGGAUUUUUUAAUAUAUUUUUUGCCUAUAUGGAAUAACGUUUCCGCACUAUAUUCCACAGGUAGUGAAAGAGACAAUUGACCCAAGUGCGCGUGUUGAAUUUAAACCCAACACCGCCGAUGAUCCGCACAUGAGAAAACCUGACAUCUCAAAGGCCAAAUCUCUUCUCAAUUGGGAGCCAAAAGUCUCUCUGAAGCAAGGCCUGCCACGUAUGGUUUCGGACUUCCAGAAACGCAUCUUGGAUGAGAAAUGAGGGGCAGGAGUUACCGAAGUCGGAUCUGUAUUAUACUUCACACGGAGCGUUUUUAGUGCCUUGGCAAGCUCGGCUGCAGGCGUAUAGAUUACAGAUAGCUUACCCAGGAUUCUUCUUCCAGGCAACUCUUUAGUGACAUGACAUGCGUUACUUGAUUUUAGUUUCAUUGAUACAUAAGUUUUGUCUCGGAAAUCAGAAUCAUGUGAUCAUGUUCUUGUCAACUCCUUAGGCUUUCAGAGAACAGUGGUAGAAAUUUACAUAAAUACAGAGUUUUUUUUUGCUUAAAUUCUACUCCCUUCAUACCAUAAUAUAAGAGUGUUUUUUAUACUACAGGGAGUAGUAUUCUGGCACCCAUUUGUUUUGUGUUUAUAGGAGUUCAUGCUACUCUGCUUUUGGUGUGGUUUGUGUUCUGUAACUCAUCCAAUAGUUCAGUUUUUCAGGAUUUCAUUUCAUGUGAAAUGCAUAGCCGUGUUAUGGUAGUUUUCUUCAUAAAAUAUGCAUAAAUAUACUUAGUUUUCUUCAUAAAAUAUGCAUAAAUACACCAGUACUUAGUUUGCAUUACAUAUAGGAGUGUUAUGGUAGUAAAAUGCAUAGGCCGUGAAAUUCAGAUUACAAAUGUUCAGCGCGACGGCAGAGCAUCAUAUAAUCUGAUACCACUAGUUAGGGAAGCAGCUCAGCUCAGGAGAGGUGAAUAUCGAACUGGAGGAGGCUGUCGACGCCGUCGGUGGCGUGCUGGUCGCCGGGGUGCAGUGUGCGGAUGGCGGCGAAGCCCUUGGCGGUCUCGUACUUCCCUGUGCCGCCGAUGACGGCGAUGCGGGACUCUUGCGCCCCCGUCCGGUGCACCCCGAAGAAGCUGAGCGUGUCGCCGUGCGCUUCGCCGCCGAACAGGGCCGUCAGCACGACCGUCUUGCUGCUGCCGUCCUGCGAGCUCGCGACGUAGAACCCCUGCGCCCUGCCGACGGCCGCGGCGCCGAGCUCGUGGCCCCCGGCGAGCUCCUCGUCCACGACGGUGGUCAUGCCGAAGAGGAGGUUCUGGGGCGUGGCGCCGCCGCCAGCGUUGACGGAGGGGAUGGUGUUCUUGUAGCCGCCGUUGACGGCGUUGCCAUUGCUCUGGACGAGGCUGUCGUAGGGGACGACGUUGUUGCUGCUGGCCAGGUCGUCGGCGCUCGCCACCACCCCGGUCACCAUGAGCGCUGACGGCUGCGACGAGCUGCCGAGGAUGUCGUGCAUGAAGAACGUCAGCGGGCUGUCGCCGGCGCCUGCAGCCACACCGGCUCCUAGGUUGGCCGUUGC
rnacentral:lncRNA from 1 species